rnacentral:lncRNA from 1 species
AAAACCUGGGUCAAAAAUUGGGUAGCAACAGAUGCCCCCUCUUUACAAUGCUUACGAAGCAAAACUCCUCAAAAUUUUGCAUAGUAAGCUUUGUAAAGAAAACAAAAGGAAGAUGAUUUCAUUAUCUUGGGCGACCUGCCCACACACUCACACUGAUCUAUUUUCACGGGCGACCUGCCCACACAUAUUCACUCUAGUCUAUUUUCACGGGCGACCGACCCACACUCUCC